rnacentral:rRNA from 1 species
UACAGAGGGUGCGAGCGUUAAUCGGAGUGACUGGGCGUAAAGGGCGCGUAGGCGGAUAGAUUAGUCUGAUGUGAAAGACCUGGGCUCAACCUAGGAUGUGCAUUGGAAACGGUCUGUCUAGAGUUUGGGAGAGGGAAGUGGAAUUUCCGGUGUAGCGGUGAAAUGCGUAGAUAUCGGAAAGAACACUCGUGGCGAAGGCGACUUUCUGGCCCAAAUCUGACGCUGAGGCGCGAAAGCGUGGGGAGCAAACAGG